GCCAGUGUUGCCACCAGUGACUCGACAGACUUUGCAAUAAAUAUUUUUCUAAUCUAACGCAAUUUACGUUGGAUUUUCCCAAACCAAAAAACUUUCGAAACAGACUCUUGGGCACAAGUUGUGUUGAUGCAUCUCUCUUCUCUCGUUGUUCGUCCAGUAUCCCGCUUUUCCGUGUUUUCAUGUAGCAACCGAGUUAGCGUUACUUCGUGGUGCGGACGAUACGGUCAACGAAGAGGUUGAAGAGGAACCAACGACUCAGACCCAAGUCUGAUGUUUUUAGGUGAGAAAUUGGAUGCUUGACGACCGGAAUGAGUGACUCUCACGCUCAAUGCGUGAGACUUUAGAGCCCUGGAGCUGACGUCGGGCUGAAUCCCACAGCAUGCUGCAGAUCUGAUAAACAGAAAGUAUCACGUCCAAGGCGGCAGAGAGCACAUCCUGGAUGUAUCCGGCUAUUCCACUCAGAAAGUCAUUAGUAACACAGAAGACAUUUCUACCAACAACCACAGGGUCCAUGAAGCUUGUGUCGGUGGUUCCUGAGAAGAACAAAGGCGCAUUCAAGCCAAAAAGUUCCAGUGUGUCACUUAAUUCAACAAAUUCAAACCCUGUUUGUUACACAGACAUUUAGACAGUCAGAGACCAAUGGGAAAAAUACCUUAUCCGCCAGUAAUGAACAAUUAUUAAUACAAAAAUAGUAACACUACAUAUCCACCCCAAACACAAGCUAACAGUUACCGUGAGAUAAUAUUGAUUAAGGAUUAAGGAAUUCAGGCAACAAAUAAAAAUGCAACAUUCCAGACAUUGUGUUGUGUUGUGAUAAAAAUACAA
ensembl:lncRNA